rnacentral:tRNA from 1 species
GGCCGCAUGGUCUAGUGGUAUGAUUCUUGCUUUGGGUGCAAGAGGCCACGGGUUCGAUUCCCGUUGCGGCCC